GUUCCUCACCACUCGCUGAGUCGCUGCUAAACUUAUGUCAAACAUGGUAUAGCCAUUUGCUCUUCAUCAACAGCAAAUUGCUAUGCUGGCACAACAAUUGAGUCUUCUUAUGGUUGUAGCUGCUCAAGCAGCUAAUGGAGCUUCAAAACCAAACGUCAAUAUGCAACAACCUGGAUUAAAUGGCACCAAUAUGCCGACUCAAAAUUGGUCAGGUCUUGGGUAUCAAAUUGGUCAGAAUGAACUGCCAAAAUCAGCUCAGGUUGGGAACUCUCCGUCAAUGUACCCAACAGGAAAUCCUUCCUAUUUCAAAGCAAUGGUGAAUGUAUGAGGCUUACUAUUAUUCUAAUGCAGCACAAUCAGGUCUUGUGUGAAUCAGUCCAUAAGCAGCAGGAGUAUUGGUGAGAAGUGCUUUCCUCAAUACAGUUUUUCAAUGGUUUUGAUGCCAUAAUAUAUUAUGGGCAUUAUGGAACUAUGGUCUAUGGAACAUUUUAAUCUUAUGGUUUUUUUAUUAUCAUUGACAUAAAAAGAUAUGUUAUUUGAUCUUGUGUGCUCUCCUCACUAAUUAACUUAAAUAAGGAAUUAUAUUCCAUAGACUAGGCAAAUGCACUUUUGGUCUUGUUCUUGGCAUAGAUGUCCUAUCAGGGUUGAGUUGAUAUUUAGUUUUUCACCUUUGCCCUUUUUUUAUUCCUAUUUGAUUAUUUAUGUUAGACUGUUAGAUAUAUAUGCUUUAAGCUAAUUGAUGAUUUUCUGAAUGGGUAAUUGUUUCUACGGGACAUUCAUGGAGCAGUGGGAUGCAGCCCACGGAUAUUGCUUAUGCAAAAGGGCGGAAGAGGAGGAAAUCGAGAAGAAUAAAUGGAGGGUUGUGACUUGUGAGCAAGCUCAAGCUAUCAAGUCAAGGAGGAGACUAAACGUUGUGUUUUGAUUCUUAAGGCUUUUCUUUCUCCUCUUUCUAAUUUUUCCUAGCUGAAAUUUUAUAGUAUUUAGAAUUUGUGAUUGAUCCUUUUAAUAAACAAAAUGAAA